AUCCAAUUGUCAGCGCCCAUAUCACAGUGGGUGGUUGCCAUGAACAUAUGUUUAUUGAUGAAGAGAUCAUGUUCAUACAGCAGAAGGUUCUCAUGUUUGUCCCAGUGGGUCAGACUGCAACCUCUCCGGCCUUUCAUCCUACAGUCCAAAGACAGAGGGAGACAAAACACACCACACCAAAAUCACUUCAUUUGUAAACAAUAAAAGCACAGUACAAGCACAA